UGAACACACAGAGUAACGUGUUCUUAGAGUCAGUCAUAAAACACACAAGAUGAUCCUCCUCUUCUGCACAGCCCUUCAUGUCAUACUGGUUUCAGGUUCCUCUCUGAGUGACCUCGUCUCACAGACUCCAGCUAAUAUGUACAAAAACCUCGGAGAAGAAGCCGUCAUCAGCUGUUCUCACAGUAUUAAAAACUACAACCAGAUUCUGUGGUACAAACAAAUGAAGGACAGACAACUGCAGUUCCUCGGGUACAUCUUAGCAACUCAUAAAAACCCAGAGCCUGGCCUGGGGGUGAAGAUGGAUGGAGAUGCAAAUAUAAAUAAGAACUGCACACUGACAGUUGAAAGGCUGAGUGAGAACAGCAGUGCACUUUAUUUCUGUGCUGCCAGUCUACACAGUGCUGCAGGUCUCUGCACCUCCUGUACAAAAACCUCCUCAACACGGUUCAUUUACAGCUCUGUGCACCUGGAACAUCACUUCCAACCAAUGUCUAUGUUCCUGCUGAUUACCAUCAGAGAUUAUAAUAACAGGAGGUCGUCCUUCCUGCAGAGAAAUGUAACUUCCUGUUAUAACAAGCGGCAUUAG